GAACUGGCUCCUCAACUUGAGCCCAAGUUCCUGCCUACAUCUUCCAAAUAAAAAGAAGCCAAAUUGUGGGGAUCAAUUAGUCUUGUUAUCCACAAAGGAAAUAACACAAAAGGCAGCACUUAUCAGUACACAGUGACCAAAGCUCCCCUGCAAGACAGGCAGGAACUCGGUAAUUAAAAACUUGGGUCCGUAUUUCAGGAUCUAAUUGUGUGUGAUGCUUUGCAUGUAUCAUAGCAACACAGAGACAAGCUGUAUCAGCAUUUCUCUGGGAACCUGCUUUUCCAAGGAUUAUAAUGAACCCGGCAUGUGACAAAAACAAAACCGCCCUGUCCGUCAUUGAAGGCCGUUCCUAGGCUUGAACUACUUAUGGAUAUUUACCUGCAGAGUUUGGGACCCCAAAAGCUAUGAAGGAAGUCGAAAACAUACAUUUCCUGGACAUCUACUCUUGCCAGGCACUGAAAUAGGUCCUUUGACUCCUUAAAGUCAUCCACCCUUGUGUUCAUUUCCUGAAGAUGCCAUAACAAAGUACCACAAACUGGAUGUCUUAAAACAACAGCAAUUUACUGUCAUAGUUCUGGAGGCGAGAAGCCCUAAAUCAGGUGACGGCAGAGCCAUACUCCCUCUGAAGCCUCCAGGAGAGGCAUCUUCUUUUUAUUUGAUUGAUGUGAUUUAAGUUCCAGGGUACAUGUGCAGGAUGUGCAGCUCAUCACCUCCCUUCUCCCACCCUGUUCACAACUACCGAGGGCAAAUCGUGCAAAACCACAGCUUCCUCUUGUGGCUCUCCUGCCCACAGGGAUGGAUCCCAAAGGCCUGUCCCAUCAAGAGCUUAUUCUUCACAACAGAGAUGUUGAGUGAUCAGAGACAAAUCAGUUAGCCUCCUGGAGCUCCCAUUUCUCCAACUCCAGGUCAGUGGCAGCACUUAUCUUACGGUGCUAAAUGAGAUCAUUCAUGUAAAGAGCUCCACAUGGAACUUGGUACACAACCACCCUUCACUUCAACUGACCAAAUGCCAAAGCACGGGACCACUCUUGCCAAGAGGCCAACACACACCACGUAAUCAAUCUCCACGCUUUGCAAGGCCCUCUCAGCUGACCCACCAUCCAAGUCCAUUUCAUCUCCUGCCUAUAAACAGAUGACUCCUCCAGGGUAGAUGAGGUUGUGCAAGAUACACUGUCCCUGCUAGACCCAGCAACAUUUCUGAAGGGAUGGAACGCUCAAGCUACAAGGCAGGAAGCCCAGCAUGUCAACAACGGGUCAUCAACUUGUGCUGCAACAUCCCUGCUUCCAUAAACCCUGAUGCCUUAAAAGUGGCAUAGUACAUCAGUGAAGGAGUCAGCUCACCUGCACCCAAACUCCAACUCUGCCACUUACAAUUUAUAGGACUACAGGCAAGUCACAUGGUUUCUCUGAGCCCUGAUCUAUAAAAUGAGGUUAAGCAUAGAACAUCCCUGGCUGGAUGCGGCGACUCAUGCCUGUAAUCCCAGCACUUUGGGAGGCCAAGGCGGGUGGAUUACCUGAGGCCAGGAGUUUGAGACCAGCCUGGCCAACAUGGCGAAAACCCGUCUCCACUAAAAAUACAAAAAUUAGCCGGGCAUGGUGGCAGGCACCUGUAAUCCCAGCUACUCGAGAGGCUGAGGCAGGAGAAUUGCUCAAAUCUGGGAAGCGGAGGCCGCAGUGAGCCGAGAUCAUGCCAUUGCACUUCAGCCUGAGCAAGAAGAGUGAAACUCUAUCUCAAAAAACAAAAGAAUAGAACAUCCUUAAACUGUACCAUCUAAUACAGUAGCCAACACCCAAAUAUGGCUAUUUAAAUUUUAAUUCAUUAUAAAUUAAAGAAAACUAGAAAUUCUGUCCCUCAGUUACAUGAGCCACAUUUCAAGCACACAGCUAUAUAGGCUUGGCUAAUGAAAACCACGUUGGACAGGGCGGCUAUAGAAUAUUUUCAUCACUGCAGAAAGUCUACUGGACAGCACAGGAUUACUGUGAGGAAUAUUAAAUGAACUGAUGAAUAUAAUGUGCCUAGCACCACACCUGAAGGAUAGGAAGUGCUCAAUACAAUGAGGGUGUUAUGCCAUUUAAUCCUCUGCAAGGUGGUGGCUUUGCUCCCAUUUCACAGAUGAGAAAGCCGAGGUUCAGAAAAAUGAAAAUAAUAUAUUCAAACUCUGAUACCAGUAACUAGCCAAGUCAGAAUUUAAGCCCUGAUCUGUAUGACUCCAAAAAUCGGUGUGUUUUUCAUGAGAUAAGCAAUCUUCACGCAAUAGGAAGAGAGAUUGGCAAGAGAGGAAGUAGUGAUGCAAAAUGGAAUAAAAAUAAAAAUAGGCUGGUGUGGUGGCUCAUGCCUGUAAUCCCAGCACUUUGGGAGGCCAAGGCAGGCACAUCACAAGGUCAAGAGAUUGAGACAAUCCCGGUCAACAUGGUGAAACCCCAUCUCUAGUAAAAAUACAAAAAUUAACCGGGCGUGGUGCGCACACCUGUAGUUCCAGCUACUCAGGAGGCUGAGGCAGGAGAAUUGCUGGAACCCAGGAGGCGGAGGUUGCAGUGAGCCAAGAUCGCGCCACUACACUCCAGCCUGGCGACAGAGUGAGACUCUGCCUCAAAAAUAAAUAAAUAAAUAAAUAAAAAUUAAAAAGCUACAAUGGUACCAUCAAAAGCAAAGAGAGCUCAGUCCUUGCAGUCUCAGAGAAAACAAACUCAAACCCACUGCUCCUCCCCUGAAGACAUUUGGCCUCACUUACAGGACAGUGAGAAGGUUUCAAUCCCUCUUUAAACCUCAGUUUCCUCUUCUGUAAAGUGGGUUGCUUUGACGAUAAAGCAAGAUAACGUAUUUUCAAGCACAGAGUAGGUACUCAAAAAAUUAUUUUUUAAAAAAAUCUGAAUAAUGACCACCCUAAGUACAACCUUUGGGUCUGGGCCUAUCCAAGAGCGCUCACCUACCUUUUUGGCUUUUGGAAAGAAUCAGAAAUUUGUUGAAUCCACACUCUCCAGGAAGCAGAAAAGCUCACUGCCUCUUGCAGAGGACGUAAUAGCUAAAGUGUGGCUUUUUAAUUUGUUAAUCUUUGCAAAUCAGGGUUCCAGAGCUUUGCAAAGAUGCGGAACCAUCAGAGCUCUAUACAGAAACAAUCAAUUCCUUGAUUAAAAUAUGACAGCUUAAUUAAUUAGUACUUAAUAGCUCAACCUUAAUUAUACCCUACAUCGUUAUUUGAUAAUAUUCAUAAAUUUCCCAUGUGGCUGUGCACACAUGUCUUUUAUCAACUGAUUACAAAUGCCAGGACUUGACCUCCAUCCUCGGGAAAAUGUCUCGGAUGUCAAGAACAUGAAAGACUUCAUUAACACUAAUGCCGACCUCACCAAGGUCUACUCCCAGUUAAGAAUUCUCUGAUUUAAAAGUUCUUUGAGAUCCACCAGAGAAAAGUGAUGAUUUGUGCACUAAGUUUGCUGUAUAGUUUAUUUCCUUCAAACCUCAAUAUUUUAGGAAAUUUUAUAAAGUAUUAAAUAAUAUCCCUGGAUCUUACUUUCACCUGAAAAAGACACUCACAGACUUUAUUUUUUUUUAACCCGGAGAGUGGGUUAGUUUCUAAACUAGGUGAGAAUAGCUGAAAUUCUUUGGAUGUGAUGGGAGAGUUAUGGGGACCCCGUAUGAUGAUGAUUAAUAUGGCUUUGAAGCCCAAAAGCCCUGGCUUGAGGCCAGGCACAGUGGCUCACACCUGUAAUCCCAGCACUUUGGGAAGCCAAGGUAGGUGGUUCACUUGAGGUCAGGAGUUCAAGACCAGCCUGGCCAAGAUGGCGAAACCCCAUCUCUACUAAAUAUACAAAAAUUAGCUGGGUGUGAUGGUGUACGCCUGUAGUCACAGCUACUCGGGAGACUGAGGCAGGAGACUCACUUGAACCUGAGAGGCAGACGUUACAGUGAGGGGAUAUCACAUCACUGCACUCCAGCCUGGGCGACAGAGCAAGACUCCAUCUCAAAAAAAAAAAAAAAAUACCUGGGCUUGAAUCUCUGUAAUUCUGAGCUUUGUGAUCUUGAUUGAGUUUCUUCACUUCUCUGAGCCUGUCUGUUCAUUUGGUAAAUUGAAAUAAUAAUUUGUAGUUCUCAGAAUGUUGAUAUGACAUUCAAAUGGAUGGGAAAGUGCCUGGCACGUACUAGAUGCUCAAUAAAUGUUACAUGUUAACCCAUCAGCUGUGCCAGAGCGUAGGCCAUUCUGCUUUGUCCAAUUGCCCAUGGAGAUCACUCACCUGGAGGAGGGGGAUCAGACCUCUGUAUGUGGGAGCUCUGGAGAAUGAGGUGGGAGGAGAGCUAUCAGAGAGGAUAAGAAGAUUAUAUUCUGCCAAAUAAACCAGUUCUUCUGUGGAUGUGUCUUUUGGGCUUGGUGGGGGCGGGGGGGGGAGUGCAAGAGAGGGCACAAAACUUCCCAGAAGUCUCCGGAACUACUUUAGGAGCUGCAGCCCUGCCUAGAGGGAAGGGACCCCACUUGAGUUGAGGUGCCCAGCCUCUAAGCAUGGCUCUGUCUUGGGUGGCAUUAAGCAAGUCCCUCAACUCUUGGAAAAUUAGUCUUCUUCUUUGUUAAAGAAAUUGGUUCCAUUUUUCCAAACACCUGCUGCAACUACAGAAUCACCUGGGACAUUUAUUUAAAUAGAGAUAUAAUAUACAGCAGCAAUCCCCCAGCACACACAUCCCAAAUAAUGACAAUUUCCAUAUAACAAUUUUUUUUAGAUACUCACUUCUGGGCCUCGAUUGAUUCAGUGGGUCUGAAGUGAUUUCCAAGAAUUAUUAUUUAAAUUUCUCAAGGAAUUCUGAUGGGCAACCAGGUUGGGGAACUAAAAGGAUUGCUGGUUUCCAGUGUCCGCAUCCACCGGGAAAACUUGGCUUCGUUGCCGCCUUGGCACACCAGUGACACCUGGUGGCUUGGAGGAGUAACUCUAGCUUGUCGCGGCACGUGAUUUCGAAUCCUCCAUUGCAUCGCUCCUGGCAGUUGUGGGACGAGAUGACGUUUUCCACUCUUCCCAAAAGUUAGAUAACAUGAUUCUCUGUCUCAACAUCCAUAAUAGACACAGCAUCUCAGCUCCUGAAUCCAUCUUUCAAACUACCCAUUUGACAGAUGUCCACCUUGGACCACCACCAUUACUUUUUUGGCCUCCAAAUUCUGAUGGCACCUGCAACUAGAAACCCCACAAGACAUCGCCAUUUCAGGAGACACACAGACAUGGGGUGACCACUCAGAUACCUGGACUGGACUGUGUCCUAAAAGAAGAGACACAUGACCUUUCCUUCAGCUCAUAGAAUUUACAAAGUGAGAUAAGACGAGAUGCUGAAAAAGGCAUAAACUGAUGUACUCUCAAUCUCCCAUUCCCUAGAAUCUGUGACCAGACAAUGAGAACACAUGGGCACAGGGAGGGGAACAUCACACACCAG
rnacentral:lncRNA from 1 species